rnacentral:rRNA from 1 species
GAUGAACGCUGGCGGCGUGCCUAAUACAUGCAAGUCGAGCGAACAGACGAGGAGCUUGCUCCUCUGACGUUAGCGGCGGACGGGUGAGUAACACGUGGAUAACCUACCUAUAAGACUGGGAUAACUUCGGGAAACCGGAGCUAAUACCGGAUAAUAUAUUGAACCGCAUGGUUCAAUAGUGAAAGACGGUUUUGCUUUCACUUAUAGAUGGAUCCGCGCCGCAUUAGCUAGUUGGUAAGGUAACGGCUUACCAAGGCAACGAUGCGUAGCCGACAUGAGAGGGUGAUCGGCCACACUGGAACUGAGACACGGUCCAGACUCCUACGGGAGGCAGCAGUAGGGAAUCUUCCGCAAUGGGCGAAAGCCUGACGGAGCAACGCCGCGUGAGUGAUGAAGGUCUUCGGAUCGUAAAACUCUGUUAUUAGGGAAGAACAAAUGUGUAAGUAACUAUGCACGUCUUGACGGUACCUAAUCAGAAAGCCACGGCUAACUACGUG